rnacentral:rRNA from 1 species
UGAGGAAUAUUGGACAAUGGGUGAGAGCCUGAUCCAGCCAUCCCGCGUGAAGGACGACGGCCCUAUGGGUUGUAAACUUCUUUUGUAUAGGGAUAAACCUACUCUCGUGAGAGUAGCUGAAGGUACUAUACGAAUAAGCACCGGCUAACUCCGUGCCAGCAGCCGCGGUAAUACGGAGGGUGCAAGCGUUAUCCGGAUUUAUUGGGUUUAAAGGGUCCGUAGGCUGAUUUGUAAGUCAGUGGUGAAAUCUCACAGCUUAACUGUGAAACUGCCAUUGAUACUGCAAGUCUUGAGUGUUGUUGAAGUAGCUGGAAUAAGUAGUGUAGCGGUGAAAUGCAUAGAUAUUACUUAGAACACCAAUUGCGAAGGCAGGUUACUAAGCAACAACUGACGCUGAUGGACGAAAGCGUGGGGAGCGAACAG